GUGUAGUAUCGCUUAAUUCAUGUAUCCUGGGAAAUUAGUAUUCAAUAAUCCAGUUGUUACUAAUGUUUUCAUUGAUAUAUGCGUGUCGGCAGGCCAACUAAAUUGCUCCCUGUUACUGGAUGAACAGAUGUUUGUUACUGAAAUUCUCUCGCUGGUUAAGAUGGGGUAUGUAGACAAUAGCCCAUCUCACUGGCCACAACUAAAAGUUAAGACAGCAUAGAAAAGGUAAUUACUGGAGGACUCUGAAAAGUAAACAAUAAUACAAAAAUAGAGACUGAAGUCAAAAUUGAUUAAUAACCUUAGCAAGAAUUUCAUGGUUUGGGGUUUUGUUUGUUGUUAUUGUUGUUGUUUUUCUUUCUCUUUCUUUUGACUGUUGGCUUUGAACUGAGGCCAGGAUGACAUGAGCAACUGUGCAGCAAGUGUUGACAGAAAAACUGGAAGAAGUCAUCUCUUUCUAUCCAGAGACCAGCAAAAGGGACCCCUGCAUUCCACAAAGGAGGAGGAAAAUUCUCGUUUCCCACUUUUUGUAGUUUUUCUUUUCUAGUUCUGACUCAGGCCCUACCUCAAUCACGGCAUUGCACUGCCACCUCUAUGAUAAAGUCACCUUUACCCCAAGAGAAUACUGAGUUCUGGGCAAAAGGGGGCCCAGGAAAAAGGGGCCCCUGUUGUCCAAAGACUAUGAGGAAAUCCCCUAAUUUUCUCUCUGUUUCCCUAUUUCCUUUGUUCUGAGGGCAGCAUCGGUUUCAUGGAACUGUAGAAAAAGCACAAGAGGCAAGCACUCCAUCCUUCUGACAGAGGAAAUGGGAUAAAACAGGCCACUGUGAACCAAAGUGUGACUGAGACACCAGAGAGAAAAGACUGGAAGUGAGGAUCGCUUGGGGCUUAUCUCCAUGAAGCGACUUUAGGUCCAGGUUUACCUCCAAGGCCAUAAAAACUUUCCUGAGUUAGUCUGAAGGAGCGAUAUAGAAGACAGCAGAGGAGAGCUCAAAUGCCUAGUUGUCCCAGCCGCCUCAGGCAGCACUGCUACACCAGCUGAGGUUGUUUUCAAUCAGCCAACAGUCAAAUGAGAGAAACAAGCUCAGAGGAGAAGCAUAUCUGGCUGAGCCCCUCCUAAAUUGCCCCCCACUUAGCGCUAAAUAAAUGUGAAGUAGAUGGGUUCAGAUAUUCGAAGGGGAACUGUAUGAACAAAG
ensembl:lncRNA